AUUGGGUGUAUAGAUGGAACGCACGUAAGAAUUGUUGGACCGCAUGCAUCUCAGCACUUGUUUUUCAACAGAAAAGGAUUCUAUAGCCUAAAUGUUUUACUUAUUUGUGAUGAAGAAAUGAAGAUUCGUUUCGUCGAUGCAACACAUCCAGGAGCAUGCCACGAUUCAUUGGUGUGGAAAGUGUCGGAGUUUCGUUCCCAUUUGCUCCAACGAUAUCUGAGUGGCGAACGAAAUUUUUGGAUAUUAGGUGACGCAGGAUACCCAUUAGCGCCAUGGCUACUUACUCCGCAUAGAACAUGCC